rnacentral:lncRNA from 1 species
AUAACAAUUAAAUAGGAUCUUACUAAAGAUAAUGUGAUGAUGGCUAUGCAGGAUCCCAUUGGAGGUAAUAUGAUGAUGAUUGCAUAAUGUCCUACUAGGUGUGUCACAAGAUAUGUUGGCAUUUCUUUCAUCUUGUCUAGAUGAGUACUGUGAAACUUGAGGUCCUAAGAAACUUAGUCGGUUAGAGGAGGAAGGCUCCAAAUUUUCCAUAACAUUG